rnacentral:rRNA from 1 species
CCUACGGGAGGCAGCAGUGGGGAAUAUUGCACAAUGGGGGAAACCCUGAUGCAGCGACGCCGCGUGAGUGAAGAAGUAUUUCGGUAUGUAAAGCUCUAUCAGCAGGGAAGAAAUAAAGUCCUUCGGACUUUGGACGGUACCUGACUAAGAAGCCGCGGCUAACUACGUGCCAGCAGCCGCGGUAAUACGAAGGGGGCAAGCGUUAUACGCCUUUACUGGGUGUAAAGGGAGGGUAGACGGCAGCGCAAGUCUGUAGUGAAAGUCCAUGGCUUAACCAUGGAACUGCAUGUGAAACUGUGCAGCUGGAGUACAGGAGAGGUAAGCGGAAUUCGUAGUGUAGCGGUGAAAUGCGUAGAUAUUAGGAAGAACGCC